rnacentral:rRNA from 1 species
AUUGAACGCUGGCGGCAGGCCUAACACAUGCAAGUCGAACGGUAACAGGAAACAGCUUGCUGUUUCGCUGACGAGUGGCGGACGGGUGAGUAAUGUCUGGGAAACUGCCUGAUGGAGGGGGAUAACUACUGGAAACGGUAGCUAAUACCGCAUAACGUCGCAAGACCAAAGAGGGGGACCUUCUGGCCUCUUGCCAUCGGAUGUGCCCAGCUGGGAUUAGCUAGUAGGUGGGGUAACGGCUCACCUAGGCGACGAUCCCUAGCUGGUCUGAGAGGAUGACCAGCCACACUGGAACUGAGACACGGUCCAGACUCCUACGGGAGGCAGCAGUGGGGAAUAUUGCACAAUGGGCGCAAGCCUGAUGCAGCCAUGCCGCGUGUAUGAAGAAGGCCUUCGGGUUGUAAAGUACUUUCAGCGGGGAGGAAGGGAGUAAAGUUAAUACCUUUGCUCAUUGACGUUACCCGCAGAAGAAGCACCGGCUAACUCCGUG